AUGUGAAUCCCUUGGCUCAACCAAGGAAGGGCAUUUGAAACUGUCUGGCUUGAGUACGGGAGGGGGAAGUGGAAUUCCCGGUGUAGAGGUGAAAUUCGUAGAUAUCGGGAGGAACACCGGUGGCGAAGGCGGCUUCCUGGACCGAUACUGACGCUGAGACGCGAAAGCGUGGGGAGCAAACAGGAUUAGAUACCCUGGUAGUCCACGCCGUAAACGUUGGGCACUUGGUGUUGCGGGUAUUGACCCCUGCAGUGCCAAGGGCGAAUUCCACAGUGGAUA
rnacentral:rRNA from 1 species